rnacentral:rRNA from 1 species
UACGGCGAGUGANCGGCAACAGCUCAAAUUUGAAAUCUGGCCCUUACGGGUCCGAGUUGUAAUUUGUAGAGGAUGCUUUUGGCAAGGCGCCGCCCGAGUUCCCUGGAACGGGACGCCACAGAGGGUGAGAGCCCCGUCUGGCUGGCCGCCGAGCCUCUGUAAAGCUCCUUCGACGAGUCGAGUAGUUUGGGAAUGCUGCUCAAAAUGGGAGGUAUAUGUCUUCUAAAGCUAAAUAUUGGCCAGAGACCGAUAGCGCACAAGUAGAGUGAUCGAAAGAUGAAAAGCACCUUGAAAAGAGGGUUAAAUAGUACGUGAAAUUGUUGAAAGGGAAGCGCUUGUGACCAGACUUGGGCGCGGCGGAUCAUCCGGGGUUCUCCCCGGUGCACUUCGCCGCGUCCAGGCCAGCAUCAGUUCGUCGCGGGGGAAAAAGGCUUCGGGAACGUGGCUCCCUCGGGAGUGUUAUAGCCCGUUGCGUAAUACCCUGCGGUGGACUGAGGACCGCGCAUCUGCAAGGAUGCUGGCGUAAUGGUCACCAGCGACCCGUCUUGA